rnacentral:lncRNA from 10 species
UGGAGACAUCUGCUGGCACCGCCUGAUGCCAGCCCCAGAUCAAAGCUGGUUGCUGCUGCUGGGGCAAUUGGGCUUCAGCACUAAUGCCAUCAAUGCACAGGAACCUGUGUCCUUAAAGGACCUGAUGAAGACACUGUCUGUCCCUUGGAGGUCCCCAGCAAUGUAUGGGAUGAUCUAGAAAGACCUUAGAGCUGGCCAAACUCCCCCUUCCUCCACCUGCCUGCCAUGGACACAAAACAAAGUAUGAGAAACUUGGAGCUCAGAGACAUCCGUUAACUUAAAGUGGCUGAAGGGGGACUCCAAUCAGGGCAACCCACCUUAGAGUCCUCUGCUGUCCACCACUGAGCUGGGAAAUGAAGACUCUGCACAUAGCAUUUCAUCUGGCUGAUCCUUGGAGUCCCAGUCUAAGCAGGGCAGAAUAUAUGACUGAAGUGAACUCCACUCGACCUUCAAAUCCAACCCCUCCGAAGAGAAUAUUCCAAGAAUCAAGCAAAACCUGGGAGGUCAAGGAUGUUUCAUCUGCGUUUCCCCAUUCUCUUAGAUUGUCUCUUCUUUCCUCAAGUCUCAUAGAAUCUGAGAGUUAGAAGGUUCUCAAAGGUCAUCUCAAGCACAAUGCUUUGUGAAAUUUGAAGUCCAGCUACAAUAUGCCCAAUAAGCAUUUAUCCAGACUCAAGAGUCCCCAUUGCUGGAGAAUUGGAAUUUAAUAAUACCAAACAUAGCCCAAUCCAUUUUGGAACAAAUCUACUUGUGAGGAAGUUAUUUUAUUGUUGUUUGUUUUACAGCAUGCUGUAGGUGGUCUCUUUGAAUUCCAUCUAAAUACAACUUUUUGUAGUACAGUACUGCAAAUCAUCUAUUCUAAAGAUGCAUAUGUGUUUACACUGUAUCUGUGAACAUUCAUAACAAUUGAAGACACUUCUGAUUGUGCUUGGCUGGGCAGCAGACACGACGUUGUUGCUUAUGCAUGUGUGAGACAGGCUGUUUCAGGUAGUGUGAUAAAAAUUCUCUCAAUAUUUCAGUCAAACUAUUUAAGAGUCUUUGGAAUAAGGAAUAUAAGCCUUCUAUGUCUUAAAAAAAAUUUAUGGAGAUUUUUUGAAAAUCAUGAAAGCACCAGAUUCAAAACAUUCAGAAGGCAUCUUGGAAGAAAAAAAAAAUCUCAGGAGACAAUAGUGGAGGACUCUAAACAAAGUUGUAUUACAGUAUUCUUAAGAGUAAAAUCAAUGGGACGAUAGAGCAAAACUGCUCAACUAAUAUACCUAAUUCAUAGAAUGUAAUAGCUAUUUAGGAAAUGAAACAUUUAUUGUUGAUUUAUGAUGUGCUACUAACUCUGCUAAGCCCUUUCCAUAUUUUAUUCUACUUGAUCCACCCCAAGACCUAAUGAGGUAGUUAGCACAGGGCCACUAUCCCUUAUCCAAAACUUUUAGGCCAAAUUUUGAAAUUCAUAACUAUUUUUAUUAUUUAAGAAUAUAUAGUAUAUGUAUUGUAUCUUGUUUAACCCCACCAGCAGGGUCUGGGAUAGCAUGCUGUAAUCAAACACAUUAAUAUUUUGCAACAAAAUAUGUGCAUAUUCACAGACUGUGGGAUAAAGAAAUAUCAUAGUAAGUCUCCAGUCUCCCGUCUCAUGCCAGUUUAGGUCAAAGAUGAGUUUGUGAUGGGCUUAUGAAAAUGUUUUCUGUUCUCAGGUAUUUGGGGAUUUUAGAUAUGCAAAUUAGUGGUUUGGAAUUUGUAUUAGUGUCUCCAUUUUGCUAAUAAACAAAGUGAGGCUUUGUAAGUAGUUCCCCCUGACGCACACAGCUCAGAGUGUGGAGUUGGGUCUGAGACAAUCAAGGUCUUAACAACGAUGCUUGGCUGCCUCAGUGAAGCAUCCAUCUGCCAGGAGGUUGGGGGUCACUGCCAUGGGCCCUGAGUCUUCUCUUCUUUAGACUGAUCACUUGCCCAUAACUAUCUCUAGACUUCUUGCCACAAUGGCUCUCCUUUGAACACCCCAUGGUUUCUCACUUCUUAAACCACUGUAAGUAUGAAGUCUCCAUGAGGGGAGACUUAACUAACUGCUAAUAGAAGAACAGAAAGAACAGAAAGGUGUGUGGAGUUCCACGCUCCAACAGCAUCUACCACUUGCUCAAUGAAGUUUUUCAAAAAUAAAAAUAUUUUCUAAGCAGAUGAUGUGGCUCUUUUAUCGUGCUCAUCAUUUUAGAGAGAAAAAGAUCAAAGAUAGAGCCACCAUAGGUUCCAAACCCAAGGUUUGGGAAACUCCAUUCCAGUUCUAUUAAAAUUGCAGCUUUUUCAUAUAAAUUUCCCUGGAGAAGAAAUAUCAUAGGAGUUUUAAUAAUAAUAAAGUACAGGUUCUGUAGCCAACUCAUCUGGUUUGAAUCUCGUUCUGACACUUCCUAGCUGUGUAAUCUUAAGCAAAUUACUUAACCUCUCUGUGCCUCUGUUUUUCUAACAAAUGGGGGCAAUGAUAUGACCUACCUUUGAG